GAGCUGGAAGGAGCGGAGAGACCUGCUCGUGGAGCUGUAUGGUUCAGUGGCUCCAGCCUUGCUGCCUCGGUUUAAAGGGGGGGAGGAGAACGUCAAGACGGAUAUAUUCAUCGCCUUUGUCGCUUUCCUUAAACAGACCAGGCCCUCUGAGGGACUCAUCGCAGCAGAACCCGGAAAAGAAGAACCAGCUAUCACUCUGCUUAAGAAGAACCAGCUAUCACUCUGCUUAAGAAGAACCAGCUAUCACUCUGCUUAAGAAGAACCAGCUAUCACUCUGCUUAAGAAGAACCAGCUAUCACUCUGCUUAAGAAGAACCAGCUAUCACUCUGCUUAAGAAGAACCAGCUAUCACUCUGCUUAAGAAGAACCAGCUAUCACUCUGCUUAAGAAGAACCAGCUAUCACUCUGCUUAAGAAGAACCAGCUAUCACUCCGCUUAAGAAGAACCAGCUAUCACUCCGCUUAAGAAGAACCAGCUAUCACUCUUCUUAAGAAGAACCAGCUAUCACUCUUCUUAAGAAGAACCAGCUAUCACUCUUCUUAAGAAGAACCAGCUAUCACUCUUCUUAAGAAGAACCAGCUAUCACUCUUCUUAAGAAGAACCAGCUAUCACUCUUCUUAAGAAGAACCAGCUAUCACUCUUCUUAAGAAGAACCAGCUAUCACUCUUCUUAAGAAGAACCAGCUAUCACUCUUCUUAAGAAGAACCAGCUAUCACUCUACUUAAGAAGAACCAGCUAUCACUCUUCUUAAGAAGAACCAGCUAUCACUCUUCUUAAGAAGAACCAGCUAUCACUCUUCUUAAGAAGAACCAGCUAUCGCUCUUCUUAAGAAGAACCAGCUAUCGCUCUUCUUAAGAAGAACCAGCUAUCGCUCUUCUUAAGAAGAACCAGCUAUCACUCUUCUUAAGAAGAACCAGCUAUCACUCUUCUUAAGAAGAACCAGCUAUCACUCUGCUUAAGAAACAGGUCCCAACAGUAGUGAAGGCUCUCCACAAGCAGCUGAAAGAGAAGAGCAUGGAGUCUAGACAGGGCUGACCAACGUACUGCAUACAACAUACCAGUCUCACAUCGGAGAAGUCUACCUCGUCCAACAUGAAGAUCAAUGCCCUAUGUCCUAAUGUGCAUCCACCCUCCUUACGUCUUCCAGCCUCACAUGAAGGUAAUUCUGCCCACGGCGGUGCAGGACCCCUUCUAUAAGAUCACCUCCGAGACCCUACUGGUCACUCAGCAGACGGUUAAGAUCAGACACCCAUUAGGUGGUAAGAAGCCCAGAGGUUAGAGAGGUGGACCAGGAAAAGAAAGGUUGUGGUUCACCUCUCAGGUGAUGAGAAAGUGGAGACUGAAUUGGCAACUGGAUAGCUGCUGGUGUCAGAUCAUUACUGACCCUACCAUGGUGCCCUUGAGCAAGGCACUUAACCCCCAAAAUAGCUCUCCAUCCAUGGAUGCUACGCCGUGUCCGACCCUUUGCUUCUCAAAGUGUUUGUCCCGAUUUCUGUUAUAGCCAAAUGGACAAUAAAGUAUCAAUUAUCUUCUAUUCUAGACAAACUACCUGCUUCUUCAUUUGACGUCAAGCCCUACGUGAAGGACUUGUUCGCUGGCACCCUGAAGAGGCUGCAGUCAAAGACCAUGAAGUGAAGGAGAGGGCCAUUUCUUGUAUGGGGUCACGUGUCACCUAGGAUACCUAGAUUUUCCUGGAGGCUGAAGAACAAGAUCACCAGGUAGGCAGGGUAGAGAGGCGGACCCUCAGUAUCCAAGGUAACAUCUUCUGCUGAUGUACCUUGACCCCUGAACUGCUCCAUCCCUUCAACACUGUGCCGCUUCCCUGGAUGGAGAGCUAUUUUGGGGGGUUAAGUGCCUUGCUCAAGGGCACCAUAGUAGUAUCUUCUCUAGUCUUCCCAGGUUGACAGCGGUGAAGACCACGACUCUCAUCGCUGCAUUGCCCCUUAGGAUUGACUUCCAACCUUUAAUCACAUCCCCAUCCUGGGCUCCUUCCUCGCGAAGAACCAACGUGCCUUCAAGCUAACCGUGUCAACAUGACCAUGGCGAGCAACAGCCUGAAGCCACCCAUGAUCGAGGCCGUGCUCAACGAGCUACCUUGCUUUGAUCGAGGAGAGCAAUAAGCACAUAUCCCAGGCGGCAGUGAUACUACUCACCUAAGGUGUGUCCCUCCUCCCUGUCCCAAGAUCGGGAACACUGUCCUACCUGGUGUUUCAUCUGGUUCAUUCCCCAGUUGCUCCAAUGAGGGUCUCGCUGUCAUCCUAGAGUUCUUCCAAGCACCGGUGGUCACCGAGGCUGGGAACAACGACCUCCUGAAAGUUCUCACAGGCCCCUUUCACAGAUUAGGGAAGGCUAAAGACCCCCUGGACUUUUCCUGGUUAAAUAAAACAGUCCUACUACUCUGUGACCAGAUAGUUGUAGUUUUGGAUAGAUGCCUUUGCAUGGCUGUCAUAGGCCAUACUCACUGCCUCAGAAAUUAUUCCUAUUCUGCCUUGAAAGUUGAAAACAUGCCUUUGACACAUAUGAUAUUAAAAGGACUUUGAAAAAUAUAUUUAGUGCCACUUGUUACCUUGAAAUCACCAUUGAGUUGAAAACGUGCCUUCUUGACAUUCAGGUAAUACUUUGUUAAAAAUGACUUUUCAACGCCGGUGGUAUUCACCGCCAUUUUGUAGAGCUGUGAUUCCCAACAAAUACAUUGCAAAUAAACAAAUGUUUAGUUAAUUUGUUAACUGUGCACCAUCUAGUGUGUGAAACUUAAGACUUUCAUCAAUACCCUAA